rnacentral:misc_RNA from 1 species
UUUCCGUAGGUGAACCUGCGGAAGGAUCAUUAUCGAAUUUCGAGGGGAAGGAAGAUGAGGAGUGGAGACUGUCGCUGGCUUCCCCGCCUGGGAAGCAUGUGCACGCCUUGCUUUUCGUUGACCUUUCUCUUACUCUCACACCUGUGCACCCAUUGUAGGUCCUCGAAAGAGGAUCUAUGUUUUUAUCAUCACACGCAUCGUAUGUCCAUAGAAUGUAACAUGAUCGUCGAUCGACCUCGCGGCCGGGUGGCGGUCUAAAUAAAUAAAUACAACUUUCAGCAACGGAUCUCUUGGCUCUC